GCAUUGGUGGUUCAGUGGUAGAAUUCUCACUUUCCAUACUGAAGACCUGGGUUCAAUUGCCAGCCAAAGCA
rnacentral:tRNA from 1 species